UUCAUAUCCCGACCACAGUGGUUCAUCAGCAUCUUUCAACAUACGAUAGAAAUUAUCACUGUCAGUUUCUGGAUCAUCCCUCAUAUCCCAGUUAAAUUCAGGACCAGCCGUAUCCAUAACCAUGUCUACCAUUCUGUUUGUAUCUUUGUCCUACUGAUGACUUCUAACUCUUGCAAUUAUCUCUCACAUCUCCCCAUGC
rnacentral:lncRNA from 1 species